rnacentral:rRNA from 1 species
GAUGAACGCUAGCGGAAGGCUUAAUACAUGCAAGUCGAGCGGUAGUCCCUUUCGGGGGAUGAGAGCGGCGCACGGGUGAGUAACGCGUACAUGACCUGCCUAUCAGAAGGGGAUAGCCCUGGGAAACUGGGAUUAAUACCCUAUGGCAUUGUAUUUUUAAAUGGAUACAAUUAAAGCUGAGGCGCUGAUAGAUGGAUGUGCGUCUGAUUAGCUAGUUGGUGGGGUAAAGGCCCACCAAGGCGACGAUCAGUAGGGGGCGUGAGAGCGUGGUCCCCCACACGGGUACUGAGACACGGACCCGACUCCUACGGGAGGCAGCAGUAAGGAAUAUUGGUCAAUGCCCGCAAGGGUGGACCAGCCAUUCCGCGUGGAGGAUGAAGGCCCUAUGGGUUGUAAACUUCUUUUAGAUGGGAAGAAAAUGCUUUGUUUACAAGGUACUGACGGUACCAUCAGAAUAAGCACCGGCUAACUCCGUGCCAGCCGCCGCGGUAA